UACGUAGGGUGCGAGCGUUGUCCGGAAUUAUUGGGCGUAAAGGGCUCGUAGGCGGUCUGUCACGUCGGGAGUGAAAACACGGGGCUUAACCCCGUGCCUGCUUCCGAUACGGGCAGACUAGAGGUAUGCAGGGGAGAACGGAAUUCCUGGUGUAGCGGUGAAAUGCGCAGAUAUCAGGAGGAACACCGGUGGCGAAGGCGGUUCUCUGGGCAUUACCUGACGCUGAGGAGCGAAAGUAUGGGGAGCGAACAGG
rnacentral:rRNA from 1 species